AUCAUCACAGUCGACAUGAAACCAACGGAACUGAUAGUCAAUGUCCCAGAUGAAAUGGCAACUGACAUUCCCAGCAAUCUACUGAAUUUCCCAACAACUGGAAAUCAAACUCACUGCUCUGAACAUCAACAAGAAAAAAUGGAAACCUCAGCAGGUAUUGGGGGGAUUGUAGUAUUCAAAAGCUCUGUAGACCUUCAAAAUGUACACGAUUAUACAGUGGUGAACAUGUGUAUUAUACAUCUAUAAAUGUGUCUGCACCUCUGUUUCUCUGUUUCAUUUAUAGGCUGUGCUGUUCUUUGAUACAGUAGCAAAUGGAUUGGAUGAGCCUGAUGAGUAAGUGUAACAGUGUUUAGAGAAUGUUGGUCCUGACCAAUUGCUGAGCAGAAACCAUACAUGUAUCAUUUUCACAUGGGGAUACAUUUUUAUUAUGUACUUGAACACAAAUUGGUUAUGAUGACAUUUAUAGUUCCUGUAUUAACUCUAAUGAAUGCACUGCAUUGAUUUAUUUGUAGCCUUUCUGAGUACGUUCUUCAAGGAUUCAUUUGCUCUCGUGUCCAGACUUUCACCAAAACAAGAAUUAAACCUCUCAUCAGAGCUUGCAGACUUGGGCUGGUCGAAGAAAGGUGGUUCUCAAGGAGACACCGGUGAAAGUCCUCAAGAUUUUGACAACUAUCCAUCAGAUACGUUGCUGUAUUACAGGUAAGUUGGUCAUGUCACUGACAUUGUAAAAUGCAUUGUAAAUGAAGGUAACUAAUGUUAGAUGAACUAUUUACUGUUAUUUUUUUACGCUGACAUAACCAAAUGAAAAUGCCUUAGAAAUGAACCAUAAAGACAAUGUAAACUGUUUGUAUCUUUCUCCAGCUACACCAACAUGCAACAGACCGACUGCAGAUCCUACUUCAUUGAAACAGGACGAGCAGACUUCUCCGCCCUGUCCAGCACUUGGAUGGAAGGUUGAUCUACUGAACAAUGCCAAAAAAGUGCCUGGUGAGUUAUGUAUUCAAGAUGAAAGACACAAGUUUCUGGCUGAAUGUUUAAAAGCAGUGAUAAUGACGACAUUUGAUUUAUUCCAGAACAUCAAAGGGACACAGCUCAGUCGAGAUAAUCUCGAGGUCCUGGGAAACAUGGCAUGUGCUCUGGAUGAGGACUACAUUCAGAGCGCUGACUCUUACAUCCUGGAGAAACUAAAGAACUGCAAUGACUUCUCUGAUCAGCAGAUUACAGCUAUGGAGACGGUUAUCUGCAGUGGCAACACCACCUAUGGAAACCCAGGCACAUGGACUGAAAAAAACUAG
rnacentral:lncRNA from 1 species